GGCGUCACAAUUUCCGCCUUCACGGCAGUACAAGAAAAGGUACCAGCGAAGCGUGGCUACCUGUCUCACGCCAACUCUCCCCGAUUUAAUUGCGUGAUGGAAAAGUAUCUGGGUGGACAACAGGCCAAGAAAAAAAAACAUUUUCCCCAUUAAAAAGACAAAAAAAAAGUCAAAACCUACAAGUGGUGGACUGAUGAAAGAACUAUUGAGACUUGAAGCUAAAAAUAUGACUUGCAAGAAAGUAACUGACCUCAUCUACAAGUAAAGAACUCCUCAGCAAGCCGCUUCCCCGCUGCUAAGAAUUCUGGGAACCAGGACACGAAUGGCGAAUACUGCUGUGAGGCAUGAAAACAUCCAAAUGGUUGAGUGCAUUCUCUUUAAGUCACUUGUCUCUCUUUCAUGAGCUUGUUUUUCUUUUCUUUUUUCCUGCUCCAAAUAAUUUCCACAUGAUGUGGCGAGGGCGCGGUAUUUAUUGCCUACUGUUAAAUGUCUGCAAAUAAUUUCUUCUCAAAUGCCUGCAAAUAUUUUUUUUCCCCCUUGAAGUGAAUGCAACGGGGCUAUUGACGUGGGCCACGUCUGUGCGAAUAGUGCAUUCGCACAGACGUGGCCCACAUGCGUGUCUUUCCAGGUCAAGCACCGGAGAAAGGUCAUAUUAUGUGACUGGGAGCACACUAAGGGGCGACGUUGCCCCUCCUCCUCUCUCAACUAACAAAAUGUGGCCUGUUUGCCAUCUGUAUUUGGAAAAGCUAAUAUGACUGUGUUUAGUCAAAAUCGAUUAGAGUUGAAAAACGUUACUUGUUGCCAAAUAUUUCUUUAGAAAUAGGAUGACAAUAUGAAAAUCAUUUUAAAAUAGACUUAUUUUAACCCUCUCAACUGUUCCCGUCUGGGUUUUUCUUGGAUUUUGCAAUUUUCUAUAUGGUCAAAUUCAGGUCUCGUGUUUUUGAUUGUGUUUUUCUUCCUGAAAUUUCGAGAUGUGACGGGGGCGUUGCCGACCAUUUACACAGCUAUGGAAGUUUAUCUGUGCCAUCGGAUUUUGAAUUCGAAUUUGUAGCACUGAAUUUUUUUACAUCCAAUUUUUAACACUGAAUUUUUUUUUGCAUCUAAAUCAGACUUUGAAUUUUUAAAGCCAUCGAAUUUCUAGCACUGAAUUU